AGUGAACGCUGGCGGUAGGCCUAACACAUGCAAGUCGAACGGCAGCACAGUAAGAGCUUGCUCUUACGGGUGGCGAGUGGCGGACGGGUGAGGAAUACAUCGGAAUCUACUUUUUCGUGGGGGAUAACGUAGGGAAACUUACGCUAAUACCGCAUACGACCUACGGGUGAAAGCAGGGGAUCUUCGGACCUUGCGCGAUUGAAUGAGCCGAUGUCGGAUUAGCUAGUUGGCGGGGUAAAGGCCCACCAAGGCGACGAUCCGUAGCUGGUCUGAGAGGAUGAGAAGGCACACUGGAACUGAGACACGGUCCAGACGCCGACGGGAGGCAGCAGGGGGGAAUAUUGGAAAAUGGGCGAAAGCCUGAUACAGCCAUGGCGAGUGGGUGAAGAAGGGCUUCGGAUUGUAAAGCAGUUUAAGUUGGGAAGAAGGGCAGUAAGUGAAGACCGCGCGGUUUUGACGGUACCAACAGAAUAAGCACCGGCUAACUUCGUG
rnacentral:rRNA from 1 species